rnacentral:tRNA from 1 species
UUGUUGAUGGCUGAGUUAAAAGCGAUAGACUGUAGAUCUAUUCACGGGGUACCCUCGACUGU